UGGUGAAGGUAGUGACCAAUAGUUGACGUUCAAUCAACUGGCUGCUGGGGUCCAGCCUCUUCAAGAGUUGGAGUCAUCAAGGACUAGGGUACCUGUGCCUGACUACCAGUCUCCGCUAUGGUUUCAUAAAAGGGCAAGCAAGAGGUCAUACUGCUGACCCUGCAGUCUUUAUAAUUUUUGGACCCCAUCUGACAUUCUAUAAAAACAUCCCCAACCAACCUGUAUAGAAAAUUCCAAGAGGAUUACCACCAUCAACCCAAAAGCCAAGGAAUCCAUGAAUUGAGACUAAGACUGGAGGAACAGCUGCAGAAUUACUCAUCUCUGCCAGUGGCCCUAGUUACAGGUGACACAGCUUCCCUUCUCCUAUGAUGCUGAGGAUUGAAACUAGGGAUUCAUGCACGCCAGAAAGGGAUCUGAAUUUAUUGAAAGGAAGAGAAAUUGGCUGGAAAUGUUUCCUGAUUCUGGAAAAUAAUAGUCUGUGAAAAGAAGAAGUGGAUUCAGUUGUUGAUAUAACAAGCCCAGUGUACAUCUUUAGCUGGCAAUGGUUUGCCUCAAAACUCAAUAUAUUGGUGAAGCUGGUCUUCAAAUCCUUGUCUACCUGCCUCUACUCACAAGUG
rnacentral:lncRNA from 1 species